CUGGCUCAGGACGAACGCUGGCGGCGUGCCUAAUACAUGCAAGUCGAGCGGACCGACGGGAGCUUGCUCCCUUAGGUCAGCGGCGGACGGGUGAGUAACACGUGGGUAACCUGCCUGUAAGACUGGGAUAACUCCGGGAAACCGGGGCUAAUACCGGAUGCUUGAUUGAACCGCAUGGUUCAAUCAUAAAAGGUGGCUUUUAGCUACCACUUACAGAUGGACCCGCGGCGCAUUAGCUAGUUGGUGAGGUAACGGCUCACCAAGGCGACGAUGCGUAGCCGACCUGAGAGGGUGAUCGGCCACACUGGGACUGAGACACGGCCCAGACUCCUACGGGAGGCAGCAGUAGGGAAUCUUCCGCAAUGGACGAAAGUCUGACGGAGCAACGCCGCGUGAGUGAUGAAGGUUUUCGGAUCGUAAAACUCUGUUGUUAGGGAAGAACAAGUACCGUUCGAAUAGGGCGGUACCUUGACGGUACCUAACCAGAAAGCCACGGCUAACUACGUGCCAGCAGCCGCGGUAAUACGUAGGUGGCAAGCGUUGUCCGGAAUUAUUGGGCGUAAAGCGCGCGCAGGCGGUUUCUUAAGUCUGAUGUGAAAGCCCCCGGCUCAACCGGGGAGGGUCAUUGGAAACUGGGGAACUUGAGUGCAGAAGAGGAGAGUGGAAUUCCACGUGUAGCGGUGAAAUGCGUAGAGAUGUGGAGGAACACCAGUGGCGAAGGCGACUCUCUGGUCUGUAACUGACGCUGAGGCGCGAAAGCGUGGGGAGCGAACAGGAUUAGAUACCCUGGUAGUCCACGCCGUAAACGAUGAGUGCUAAGUGUUAGAGGGUUUCCGCCCUUUAGUGCUGCAGCAAACGCAUUAAGCACUCCGCCUGGGGAGUACGGUCGCAAGACUGAAACUCAAAGGAAUUGACGGGGGCCCGCACAAGCGGUGGAGCAUGUGGUUUAAUUCGAAGCAACGCGAAGAACCUUACCAGGUCUUGACAUCCUCUGACAACCCUAGAGAUAGGGCUUCCCCUUCGGGGGCAGAGUGACAGGUGGUGCAUGGUGUCGU
rnacentral:rRNA from 1 species